CGCAUGGUGCUGACUAAAGCUCGUAGUUGGCUUCUGGCUGGUGCGGUUGUGCCCUCGUGCGGAAUCGUAGCGGUCGUCCGCUUGGGAAUUCCGGUCGAACUUCUUGUUCGGCGGAGGGGAGCUCCAUUUUACUUUGAUUACUUAGAGUGUUGAGGUGGCUAUCGCCGUGAAUACUCAUUAUGGAAUAAUGAAAUAGGACUACUUCCAUUUUAUUGGUUAUUGGAAUUAGUGAUGAUUAAAAUGAACAGUUGGGGGCAUUAGUAUUUAAUUGUCACAGGUGAAAUUCUUGGAUUUAUUAAAGACUAACUUAUGCUAAAGCAUUUGCCAUGGAUGUUUUCGUUUUUCUCGAACGAAAGUUAAGGGAUCGAAGACGAUCAGAAACCGACCCAGUCCUAACUAUAAACUAUACCUACUACGACUCGGCCGGGAUUUUGAAAGCCGGUCAGCACCUUCUCAGAAAUCAAAGUCUAAGGCUUCUGGGUCUGGGAUGGCCGCGAGGAUGAAGCUUAAACGGAUUGAACGAAGAGGACCUGCAGGAGUGGAGCCUGCGGUUGAGUUUGACGCUGCAUUGGGAAACUUACCAGGACAAGACCUAAAUGGGAUUGACAUAUUGAGAGCUCUUUCUUGAUCCUAUCUCUGGUGGUGCAUGGGCGGGCGCAGUCUGGGCAGUGAUAUGUCUGGGUAAGUCUGGUCACGAUCAAGACCUUAACCUGCUACAUCUCUGGCUUGUGAAAAAUCACUCUUGCUUCUGAGAGUGACUAUGCUUUCAAGCGCAAUUAAAGGUUGAUGCAAUAACAGGUCAAGGAUGCCCUUACAUGCCCUGGGCCCCACGCGCGCUACACUGACACCGGGCUACUACUACGUCCUGCUCCAGAAGGAUUCCGUUGAUCUUCAUAGCAAGUGUACUUGCUGAGAUACAUCGUUGUUAGGAUAGAUCAUCGUCGAUGAAGUACUUCCUACGCAUAAGUCCUCAGUCUGGCGGGGAUUUAGUCCCUGCCUGUUGUACGUCACCGCCCGUCGGUCACUACCGACCGAUUGGUAUAGCGAAUGUGUUCCGACUGCGAAUGCGUUCAGCUGCGGGGGAGGCUUAGUCAACCAUGUCACCUACAUG
rnacentral:rRNA from 1 species